rnacentral:rRNA from 1 species
GGACUACUGGGGUAUCUAAUCCUGUUUGCUCCCCACGCUUUCGCACCUCAGCGUCAGUAUCGGCCCAGGUCUCCGCCUUCGCCACUGGUGUUCCUCCCGAUAUCUACGAAUUUCACCUCUACACCGGGAAUUCCGAGACCCUCUUCCGUACUCAAGCCUUCUAGUUUCGAAUGCACUUCUGGGGUUGAGCCCCAGGCUUUCACAUCCGACUUACAAGACCGCCUACGUGCGCUUUACGCCCAAUGAUUCCGAGCAACGUUUGCACCCUCCGUAUUACCGCGGCUGCUGGCAC